GCUAGAUCCUUCCAAAAACUUGAGGGAAUGGAAGUAGGUUGGAUUAAUCUGGCAGGUCCAAUCUUUUGAGACUUUGACCGAGGACAUACUCCACAGGAAAGGAUGUACCCUCUUGUGUUUUGUGUUAUUGAUGCCCACCAGAAGUAAUGGCAGAUGCUUUCUCAGGUACUGGUUACUCCUUCAUGCCUUGUUGAUAAAGUGUCAUGAAACAAUCUUAGAACAUCAGGACGGAUCCAUG